rnacentral:tRNA from 1 species
GAAGUGUUGGCAGAGAGGCCGAUUGCACCGGAUUGCUAAUCCGGAGAUCUGAUAAGGAUCUAGAGGUUCGAAUCCUCUACACUUCG